CUCCUGUGAUGACAUCCGCUAUGAGCCAUCGUGUCUGGGCCACUGACGCUCUGUGAUGGAACUGAGGAUCUGAGCAG
ensembl:snoRNA